rnacentral:rRNA from 1 species
CCUACGGGAGGCAGCAGUGAGGAAUAUUGGUCAAUGGGCGCGACCCUGAACCAGCCAAGUCGCGUGAAGGAUGACUGCCCUCCUUAUUGUAAGCUUCUUUUAUAGGGUAAUAAAUUACGGCACGUGUGCCUUUUUGUAUGUCCUUUUUGAAUAAGGAUCGGCUAACCCCGUGCCAGCAGCAGCGGUAAUACGGAGGAGCCGAGCGUUAUCCGGAUUUAUUGGGUUUAAAGGGAGCGUAGAUGGGUCGUUAAGUCAGUUGUGAAAGGUUGCGGCUCAACCGCAGAAUUGCUGUUGAUACUGGCGGACUUGAGUGCAGUUGAGGUAGGCGGAAUUCGUGGUGUAGCGAUGAAAUGCGUAGAUAUCACGAAGAACUCCGAUUGCGAAGGCAGCUUACUAAACUGCAACUGACAUUGAGGCUCGAAAGUGUGGGUAGCAAACAGGAUUAGAUACCCUAGUAGUC